rnacentral:rRNA from 1 species
CUGCCGUGUAAGUCCACUGUGAAAUCCACCCGCCUAACGGGUGGGCGUCCAGCGGAAACUGUCCGGCUUGGGGCCGAACGACCCGAGGGGUACGUCCGGGGUAGGAGUGAAAUCCCGUAAUCCUGGACGGACCGCCGGUGGCGAAAGCGCCUCGGGAGGACGGACCCGACGGUGAGGGACGAAAGCCAGGGUCUCGAACCGGAUUAGAUACCCGGGUAGUCCUGGCCGUAAACGAUGCUCGCUAGGUGUGGCGCAGGCUACGAGCCUGCGCUGUGCCGUAGGGAAGCCGUGAAGCGAGCCGCCUGGGAA